UAGAGAUGCUUUGAAUGUUGCUGUAAAA
rnacentral:piRNA from 1 species